GGCCCCAGUAAAGUGGCGCACGGGUGAGUAACACGUAGGCAAUCUGCCCUGUAGUGGUGGAUAACCCUCCGAAAGGAGGGCUAAUACAGCAUGAGACCACGACAUCCACGGAUGUUGCGGCCAAAGUAGGCCUCUCCACGGAAGCUUACGCUAUAGGAUGAGCCUGCGGCCCAUCAGCUUGUUGGCGAGGUAAUGGCUCACCAAGGCUAAGACGGGUAGCUGGUCUGAGAGGAUGAACAGCCACACUGGAACUGAGACACGGUCCAGACUCCUACGGGAGGCAGCAGUGGGGAAUCUUGCACAAUGGGCGAAAGCCUGAUGCAGCGACGCCGCGUGAGCGAUGAAGGCCUUCGGGUUGUAAAGCUCUGUGGGGAGGGACGAAUAAGUGCUGGCUAAUAUCCAGUGCGAUGACGGUACCUCCUUAGCAAGCACCGGCUAACUCUGUGCCAGCAGCCGCGGUAA
rnacentral:rRNA from 1 species